ensembl:lncRNA
CUCUUACCGGAUUUAGCGUGCCACUGGUCAGCUCAGCCACAGUGGAGAUAUGUUCUUUGAAAAGAAGCUCAUAAAAGAAAAGCUGAAGACAUAUUCAGGUACUGAUGCAAAUUGGACCAGCUUCACCAGAACAGAUGAAAAAAUCCACUCCAGUUCUGGCAUUUAAAACAUUUCUGAAGGAUGCGGUUGAUCUUCACUGCAACUGUGUUCUGGUCCAAACAGAAAGAAGACUUGAGCCCAAGCUUCCUCAGUCAAAACUGUGGCCAUCUUUGUCAUACCAGGGCAUUCCAUUCUUACAUGAUGUAUGUUUAAAUUUCCCUUACAUCAUUAUUCCAAAUUUUCAUGGGUGUUAACUUAGGAGUGCUGAUCUUUGCACCUUAGAGUUUUUAGUUUAUGUAACGUUAUUAUGCAUUUGUACUCAGUUCCUGAGUAAAAUGCAUAAACUUUGUGGGAAAAACAAACAAACAAACAACAAAAAAAACCCCAGAAAACUCAAGACUCUUCCUCUCCAUUUUAAUGAUCUGAUUAUUUAGCAUGAAAACCACUCUUACUUUCAUGCUCCAGGGUUUGAUCCAAUUAAGCUGCAGCACUUUCCUAUAGAGAGGCACGCAGCUGCAGGGAGGGAUGGAAAGUAAUUUCUGCAGCUGAGCUUAAAGUCUGGGAGUUAGAGCAGUCUCCUUCGAAGGGAAAAAGCAGUCAGGAUCUCUCUCAGGGAGAUCCCUUCUAACUUCCCUAGCAUGAGCAAGAGAUCUAAACAGAAAGCAACUGCAUGAGUAAUUCUUUGACCCACAAAGAAAUAUCAUCUACUGAUGAAUUUUGAGUAGGAUGCAAUUCUGCUGAUGUUGAUUGAGGAAAUAUUGGCAGUCACGGGCAAACCGAGCCAGUUAGACCAGCUGGUCCUGUUACAGGUAAAUGAAGAAAAACAAAUGUCACAUCAAAUCCAACCUGAGCUGCUUCUGGCAUGUGUUUGCCAUGGGAGGAGCAAGGGCAGAUUCAAAGCCACAUUCACAUCGACUUCAAUGAAAGCUAACCCUGGGAUUAAAAUUUGAAAACUGCUGCUAUUCCUCCUUAGAAAAACUGCAUUUCAAACAAAUCUGUACUUCAGCCAGUCUCAAAGUUGAUCUUAAUCAACUGCUUAAAACACUCUGACUGAAGCACUGAGCAGUGCACUGAAGUUACCAAAGCUGAAGAAUCACCGGAAUUCUUGGCAGCAUUCUCUGUGGAUGUUAUGUGUUCUCUGUGAGCUACUUUGUACGGAAUCAAAACCCCAGGAGAUGGCAAGAAGGUCACCUGGCUAGGGCCAGCAGAGAAGGGCUGUUGGACUUUGGAGACUGCCCAUUUAAGAGAUGUUUCCUUAAACAUAGAAGGCCAAGGUUCAGGGUGUUUACUUUUUUUUAGUGGGAUUUCCUCACUAACUAGACACUGACUGACUGUUCUGGUGGGAAAUUCAUCACUUCCAGAAGCAAAUUAAAGAAGUCUCCAUGUCCUGGUUUCAGCUGACAUAGAGUUAAUUUUCUUCCUAGUAGCUGGUACAGCACUGUUUUGGAUUUAGGAAGGGAAUAAUGUUGACAACACACCAAUGUUUAGUUAUUGCUGAACAGCUCUGCAUACAUCCAAGGACAUUUCAGCUCCUCGUGCUGCCCAACCAGUGGGGAGAUGAGGGUGCACAAGGAGCUGGGAGUGGACAGAACCAGCAUGGCUGACCCCAACAGGCCAAAGGCACAUUCCAUACCAUGUGGUGUCAUGCUGCACAGUAAAACUGAGGGAGUGGCCAUCAAUUGGGAACUGACUGGGCAUUGGUCAGCAGGUGGUGAGCAG